CAGGACACCCGUGGCGCACACAGCGGCCGGAACACACGCAAGGCACCACCGCAGACAGGUCGGCCUCAGCAGCAGGGCGACUCUUAACUGAAGGGAACGCACUGCCGUGAUAACACUUGAGAGUGCUGCACCAUGUCUAACCCUGACCACCUGAGCCCGCGGGCAUCGACAAGCCCAGGGAAGGCAAGGUGACGAUCAGCUCCCCCAUAAGUUCAUCCAGCAGCUGAGAAGCGGGGGCCGUUUACAGGACCUAACUACACUUUGGUGAUAAGCUACCAGACCACAUCAUACUUGGUUGAAAACUCAUAAAAAUAAUUACCAGCCAUUACAAAGAAGCUUCAAAACCUCUUCCACAGAACUGUAGGACAAGAAUACAACCUACUGUCUUUGUGUCUGUCUUUGAAAUAGUGCACACCAAGAAAUACACGGAGACGACAAGAACUGAAGUCUAACCCUACGUAGGCAGCUUCUAACGCGUGGUGUGGGGAAAUGUUUAAAACCAGGGCCAGCCACAUUGUGUUCCCUCUGUUCUGGAAAAGGGGACUUGCUGAGUUAUCCAAAUAAAGAUUGCUUCAAA